rnacentral:rRNA from 1 species
UCCGUAGGUGAACCUGCGGAAGGAUCAUAGUUAUGGAGAGGUGGUCACCUUGACCCCUCGAUACACUUUGGAUGCAAUGCACCUUGGUGCUAGUUGCUGGCCUUUGUGCCGCAACAUAUCUUUGAAUCCAAUGAUGACUAUAUAUAUAUAAAGUAAUUUUACAACCGGUAGCGUUGGAUCCCUUGGCACAUCAUUCGAUGAAGACCGUUGCAAAAUGCGAUAAGUGGUGUGAUAUGCAAGUCCAAAACUUAUACGUGAACCAUCGAAUUGUUGAACGCACUGCAUCGAGCCUUACCCAGGAACGAUACGCCCCAUUGAGCGUCAUUAUGUCUUCGUGACAGUGUUAUUCAUUUGACAUGUCCGGGUUCGGGAUUCACAGCUUAUGCUGCGCUUCCUCAGAUACAUUGUUGCAUACAGAUUGACAGGCUCCUUGUCAUAAAUGCCAGGGACGUCUUGAUAUAUGAGUGCAANAUCAGUCUUACAGACUUGAUCAACUGCAAUGGCUGGCUCACACUGGUCUGCNCACUUCUCUACAUGACCUCACGGGGGGCGGGACGACCCGCUNANACUUUAAGCAANUUAAUCCAGCGGGAGGAAAAGAAACUAACAAGGAUUCUCCUAGUAACUGCGAGUGAACAGGGAUGAGCUCAAUGUGUGAAUCAGGUCGGGAUUAGCACCUUACUUGAGUUGUGCACUAUAGACAGCGGAUCAGCGCUUGAAGACUCGUGGUGGAUAUCCGAUGAAACUCGGUGCUAUUAAGGGUCAUAGUCCUGUACUUGCCUUAUGAGUCUUUGCGCAUUUGACCGAUGUUCUGCGAGUCGCGUAGUUUUGUAAUGCUGCGCCAAUUUGGAGGUAGAGCCCUUCUAAAGCUAAAUAUGAUGAUGUGACCGAUAGCACACAAGUACCGCGAGGGAAAGGUGAAAAGCAACCAUGCAGAAUGGGUUGAAACAGCAGUGAAAGCGCUACCGGGAUAAGGGCUGGGGAUUGCUUGUGUUACUUGCGCGUGCUUUAGUGCUGUGCUUGUGAACGGCAUGCAUCGAUUAGGAUGGGGAGAACAGGGUCAUCGGGAAUUCGGCUGGAUCCGUCCAGUGUUGUAGCCCGGAGGUCAAUGGAGCCCCUUCUGACCGUUGAGUGUCCUGCGAUUGUCAGCCGCCCGUCUUGAAACACGGACCAAGGAGUGCACCUUGCAUGCGAGUCGAAGGGACUGUAAUCCCAAAGGCGAAGCGAAAGCGAAGGCUGCGAACCCUCACGGCGUCGGCAGCACCCGCCUUGUGCGAGGUAGAGCAUGUAGGGUGCGACCCGAAAGAUGGUGAACUAUGCCCGGGUAAGGUGAAGCCAGUGGAAACGCUGGUGGAGGCCUGUAGCGGUUCUGACGUGCAGAUCGAUCGUGUAACCUGGGUAUAGGGGCGAAAGACCUAUCGAACCGUCUAAUGGCUGGUUCCCCCCGAAGUUUCCCUCAGGAUAGC